AGCUAAUCGGCGCUACACCGUUGUUCAAAUACUUAUAAUUGCAAGAAACCCCCGACUAGGACCAGCAGUCAUUGAUGUUAGCAUGUACUACACAAAGAAAAACAGGCAAAGCAUGAAGCCAAAGGAAAUGUUUUUACCAAGGCAUGUUCCUCAAUAGCGGAGAGAGUUUUAUCCAGUGUCGGUUCUGCAGAAGAACCCAUUCAUAGCAGACCACCCAUUGCAGCACUUGUAAGGUCGCUAUAAAGAACCCGACAGACUCUGCGACCAAAAGAUCCCACUGACGUGUCGUCAAGCCUUGACGAAGAUUUCAUCGAUCAUAGUGCACCGGGAUUUUAUCAAAAAAGAGUAAAAGUUGGGGAAAGGCGCCAUCACAUUUUUUGUACUGAUAGACAGAUGCAACUACUCGCACGCGCAAAAACUUGGUAUAUGGAUGCAACUUUUCGGGUGGUGAACAAGCCAUGGUCUCAGCUGUUUUCCAUACACGCCUUCAUUAAGACUGGAGAGACCACCCGACAGUCACCAUUGGUGUUUUGUGUAAUGUCGGGUAAAAGCCAAGACGACUAUUAUAAGUUUCCAUAUUAGAUGCCAUAGCAAAUCAAAGAUCAUAUAAUAAAAUAAGUCAAAAAACCCAAAUAUGGAAAAAGAAAGAGCUGAAGAAAUGGUGAUUUGAGCACCUAUGC